rnacentral:lncRNA from 1 species
GACUAAUAUUAUUUUGCUAGUUUUAGCUAUGCAGCAGUGAAUUCGUAGUGUAAUUUGUACGCAAUAUCAACUCCUAAUUUCGCUAUAGUUUCUGUUAAUGAAAAUAUAGGAUUGCUCUACUGAACAAGCUUGUUUCGACAUCAAAACCUGAGACUAGGCUGAAGUUGCUUUCUCAACAUUUAUCAUCAAUCAAGGAACCUUUGUUACUUCAAAGAUUGAUACUAGUUUAGGCGUGCACUUUGCCUGGUCGAGAAAAAUGGC